rnacentral:misc_RNA from 3 species
GCGCGUCGGGAACUCGACGGCGACAAGGAAGAGGAGGAGCUCGUUCGCGAGGGAUCCGGCGUUCCAGAGCCCACGAAAAUGUUCGGUUUAUCACGAGAAGGAGCCUUUCCCACGGGGAAAGCCCUUUCCAUCCUGGACCUCAG